AACGUAGGAGACGAACGUUAUCCGGAGUUACUGGGCGUAAAGGGCGUGUAGGCGGUUUGUUAAGUCUGGCGUGAAAGCUCUCGGCUAAACCGGGAGAGGUCGUUGGAUACUGGCGAACUAGAGGAUGGUAGAGGCGUGUGGAAUUCCGGGUGUAGUAGUGAAAUGCGUAGAGAUCCGGAGGAACACCAGUGGCGAAGGCGACACGCUGGGCCAUACCUGACGCUAAAGCGCGACAGCAUGGGGAGCAAACGGG
rnacentral:rRNA from 1 species